rnacentral:rRNA from 1 species
AUGAAGAAGCGCCUGGCAAACGGGAGCAUAAAGUGCGAUUCGCCGGGAGUCGAUCGGCUUAGUGGCCUUCCCGACGACGUGCUCGGGCGCAUCCUGGGCUUCCUACCCACCCCGCUGGCCGUGCGCGCGACCCAGCUAUCGCGGCGUUGGCGGCGGCUGUGGCCGGCGCACGUGCUCGCCCUCAACCUAUCCGUCCAGGACUGCAAGAACCGUGGCGUGGGGGUCCGGUUCCCCGACCUCUGCGCGCGUGCCCUCGCGCGGUUCCCGAUCUUCUCCAUCCCCUCCAUCUCCCUCGAGUUUUGCACGCGCGACCAGAUCGGUGUCGGCAAGGCCCAAGCAUGGUACGCCGAGGCCAUGGAGCGCGCGGCGGGGUCCGUGAGCGUCACAUUGCUACGGGGGGCAUUCACGCUGGCACUCCCGCGGUUCACGCAGGCGGAGGCCCUGUCCCUGACUCUGACCCACAGAAUCGAUCUGGAGCUCCCGGCGGCCGGGGACGACCCGGUGCACUUCGGCAGGCUGACGGAGCUGGUCCUCGCCACGAUGCAGCUGCCCGCCGGCUCGCCUCCGUUGCACGAGUUCCUGUCGUCGUCCUGCCCGCGGCUGCGGAGGCUUCGCCUGUCCUGCGUGAGAGGUGGCGAGGCCGUGCGCGCGCUGGUCCUCCGCUCGGACCCCCUCGUGGAGCUCGACCUCAACAAUGUGGACGGCAUGGAGAGGCUGGACGUGGCGGCCCCCAACCUGCAGUCGCUGAGCGUGCGCUCCUGCUUCCGUUUCCCAAGGAGCAACGACGUCGACGAAGACACCGAGGUGGUUGUCUCGGCGCCGAGGAUGGACUCCGUCUGCUGGUACCGCAGCUACCCGAAGCGGCUCGCCACCCCCGACGGCAGCCUGGCGCGCGUCCGCCGGCUCUCCGGCCUCAAGCUCGCGACGCUGGGCCGGAGCGACAUGUUCGACUUCCCUUACACGAUGCAGCUGCUGCAGGCCUGCUCGCUCACCACCCAACACCUGGAGCUGGACCUGGUGCUGCCGGACGAGAUGACCCUCGACAACUGGCUAGGCCCGGAGGAGCGGGGCUCGUGCGAGGACCUGAUGAGAUACGUCCCGCCAUUGCCUCGCGUCACCGUGCUCUCGCUCAAGGUUCGGUGGGGGGUGAGUGGUGGCGACAUCGGGCCGUGCCUGGCCUCCGUCCUGUCGCGUGUCCCGAGCGUGGCAACGAUUCACGUGGAACCAGCCCCGUACUGUCUCACCGUCUUGGUACGUGAAAAUUCAAUUUAA